CAGAUCCCGGCAAACAUUUAGUUCGACAUCGCUUGUUGGGAAUUCCGACUUUGUCUUUGGACCGAUGUUGCAUGGAUUCAAACGUCGAACUUCACUUUCCAUGAGACCAUGACAUUAGACUAUACCUCUAAUCAUAAAUACCGUUUAUCUAUUUCGAAAAUUAUUACGACCGCUGCUAAUUAAGUUCGGCGUCUAAAUUAAUCAGGUUAGAUUUAGGUCGACUCUUUAAAAGGCAUUGAGGGUAGAACAGAACUAGUUUGAUUUCCCCUUUGUAUGGCUUAAAGUCAGACUUCAGAUCGAAAAUAUCAGAAAGAUGUUCUAUUCAAUACCGGGCCAGAGACAGCUAGAGGUCUUUCGUGAUACGGAAAAGAGCACAUUUCCAUGCAGUCUCAAGUAACGAUAUCGAUAUUAUUGCACUCUCCUCCGUAGGGGAAGCCUCACAUAUCGAUUUUUUCCACGAGAAACGUCACAUGUUCGUUUGGGGGUGGGGGGGGGGGGUUGCAGUUGCGACGUUUCUCUGUAAACAUCAUGGGAAAAUUCGAUAGUUUUUUCGAAAGCCUUAACAUUUCGGAAUCAUCUUUGCAGAAUAUAAAAAGAAAACAACUCGAUACAAACAACAGUCUAUACAUUUGUAAUACCAUACCUGUUCUAUACGUACACAUUUAUAUCCAUUACAAUUUGAAGAAAAACGCUCUAAAAUUAUCAAUAUUUCAUGCAAAAAAAGUUGUCUUGAGAAAUGUUGGAUAUUUUGAAGUUCAUAUAUAUUAAAUAAGAAAGAUAUGUCAGCAGAAGAUGACAUAUUCCUCGCAGAAGCUUCGCCAAUAGCCGACCGUAGAAAAUAGUAGAACGACAUAUCGAGGGGGGGGGGGGGGGAACAUAUGACGUUUCUCAUGGACAAAAUCGAUAUGUGAGGCUUCCCUAGGCGUAGAGGCUAAAUAUCUGUUUUAGUGGUUUGCGGUACAAGACUCAGUAUGGCUGCAUAGGCUGUACCAGCGUGGUAAAUUUAUAACUGAAUUGGAUUGGAUCAUGGGAUUCGAUAGAGAUCCAUGUCUUGCUAUUUAUGGGUUAGGUACAGCGCCUAUAGGGAAUCAUGAAUCUAUCUAACCAUUAUAGCCAUUAGACGUCUUUCCAAAAACACUAAUCAUGCAGUGGAACAGUGGACCUCGGCGGUUCUUUAGGCUAUGAAGACCCUGGCUUGCGAGGUUGUUCUGGCAGGGUUUUUCAUCGGAAAACCUGGUGAAUAUUUCAUUGGGUUAUAUACCAAGUCUGUUACACUGGGAUGUAUGUUUAUAGCGAUCAUGCAUGAUUGUCAAAUCAUGCGAGCUUUUCACAUCAAUUAUAGAUCCAUGAAUAGUAUGUCAGUGUUAAUAUAAAUCAAAGAAGAAGAGGGAUAAAUUUCUGAACUUGCCGAAUCCAGAGUCUAUAUACAGACACACUAGAAUAUUAAAAAAAAUAAAAACACAAUUUAAUUUGUUUGAUGACUUACAGGUACUUCCAUCCUUGAUCAAUUUAUGGAUGACAAAGUCCUUCAAAUUUUCUUUCUGGAUUUCCUUUAAACCAAAAACAACACUAUUAUUAUUAAACUGAAUUGCCUUACAUUUAUGUCAUUCGACAUAUCGUAUAUUAGUCACGUAUUUCGGUAUAAGUCAGUAACUAUAUACGCACAGAGUAGAUACAUAUACAUAUGCCAUCUACUCUGUGGUCUAAGCGUGGCCCCCGUAUACAGACGAGCAUGUCAGUCUUCCUUGACAAGUUUACCUUCUCGUGUGUAAGGUCAAGAAGUUUUGCUUGACAAGUUUUGUUGCUUGUGUACAUCGUGAAAUGUUGUUAAACAUUCAUCUGUCGUCAAGGCCCAAAACCAUAGAAGUAUUUCUUGUACACUUGGCGAGUUUUCCUUGGCGACAAACUUACCUUGCGCUCCAGACGCUGGCAUGACUAUAGCAAAACUCCAUGGAAAAAAAUUGUCAAGUUUUCCGUACACAUGCAUGCGACUGAUGCAAAUGAUAUUGUCAAGUAAAACUUGCUCAUCUGUACGGGGCUAAAUUAAUGAUGAUUCUGUGGGCUAAUAUAAUAACUAUUUACAAUACAUUUUCUAUAACAUUUUGUACAUAACUCUAAAGCAGUUAUUUAUUUAUAAUUGAC